AUUGAACGCUGGCGGCAGGCCUAACACAUGCAAGUCGAGCGGAUGAAGGGAGCUUGCUCCUGGAUUCAGCGGCGGACGGGUGAGUAAUGCCUAGGAAUCUGCCUGGUAGUGGGGGAUAACGUCCGGAAACGGGCGCUAAUACCGCAUACGUCCUGAGGGAGAAAGUGGGGGAUCUUCUGACCUCACGCUAUCAGAUGAGCCUAGGUCGGAUUAGCUAGUUGGUGGGGUAAAGGCCUACCAAGGCGACGAUCCGUAACUGGUCUGAGAGGAUGACCAGUCACACUGGAACUGAGACACGGUCCAGACUCCUACGGGAGGCAGCAGUGGGGAAUAUUGGACAAUGGGCGAAAGCCUGAUCCAGCCAUGCCGCGUGUGUGAAGAAGGUCUUCGGAUUGUAAAGCACUUUAAGUUGGGAGGAAGGGCAGUAAGUUAAUACCUUGCUGUUUUGACGUUACCAACAGAAUAAGCACCGGCUAACUUCGUG
rnacentral:rRNA from 1 species